rnacentral:rRNA from 1 species
UGAGGAAUAUUGGACAAUGGGUGAGAGCCUGAUCCAGCCAUCCCGCGUGAAGGACGACGGCCCUAUGGGUUGUAAACUUCUUUUGUAUAGGGAUAAACCUACUCUCGUGAGAGUAGCUGAAGGUACUAUACGAAUAAGCACCGGCUAACUCCGUGCCAGCAGCCGCGGUAAUACGGAGGGUGCAAGCGUUAUCCGGAUUUAUUGGGUUUAAAGGG